CAUAGCAUCAAUUCGGGAUCCCAAACCCUCUUUUCCCGCAAAAUUAAUCUUUUUUAUUAUUAAUGGCUCUUGAAUUUCGCCUUAUUUUUCUUUCAACCACCACCCAUGGCCUGUAAAUCGUGUCGUCCCCUCUGUUCACAGCCUCGGCCGGAGUGGAUUCCUUAUACUCUUUUUCCACCGUCAACCUCUACUUCGAUGUUGCAUAGAUUUUUUUGGUAUGGCCAUAUUUCCCACACUUGAAACAAAUUGUGGGUAAUGACUCAUAUUCCACUUUUUGAAUGGAUUCGUUAACCAGCACUUGAGAAACAAGGGAUUUAUCCAGAUUCACAUAAACGACCAUUCAAGCGAAUUAGCCUCUAGUUCUGCUAUUCGUGUAAAAGUCCAAUCUGGCUACUUUCACAAUAGUUCCC
rnacentral:lncRNA from 1 species